AAAUUGGCCAAGAAUCAGAAUUGCAAUGAAAUUGAUCAAAUGUAGGCUCUAUUUUAUAUGUUUAUCUCCAUAACUAUUAAGGCACUAUCUUUACUCAAUGUUGUACUUGUAAAACAUUUGCUGCACAGAGAUGGAUACUACAUGCUGCCUCCCGUUACUAUCCAGUAGAUGUGCAAGGUUAUUGGCUAAAGUGAGCAAAGUUAAUGAACUGGAAGAAUAGAAUAAAGAAAGUUAUCAGUUUUGUUACUUUGACCUUAAAUUUGAAAUGCACUAAUUCCCUGAGAGUGUGGUGUGGGGUCCCUGCACUCCAUAACAAGCUCUUUAUGUUUCAGGUAUCUCACCAGCUUGCUUGGAUAUGUAUUGAUCCUUCAUAUGUUCUACUAGAAUCUUCACAAUGAAAAUAACUAAUACAAAAUUAAAAGGUACAACUUUUUUUGUGCUAUUAUCAGUUACUAAAUUUAUUUCUGUAUCUCUACACAGGUCUAUGCUACAUCUUAAUUUCAGGUGCCAAUCAAACUGAAAAAGAAACCAAAUUAUAACCAAUUUUGAAAGAAUAAUAAAGUUUAAUAUGUAUUCCAAUUAAUUAAUUUUAUUUCAUUUUAUACGUUGUCAUCUCAGAUCAGCCUAGAUCAACUCACUGUUUAAUGAAUAAACUUCAUAGAUUAAUCUUUUUCAGUGUGCCAUAUCAUUUAUUUAUAUAGCACACUGAUAUAAAAUUAAGUCUCUAAAUUAAACACCAUUUAUUAUGCUAUAGGAUCAGUUUACAGAACUAAUACACUUAUCAGCAAAUUCUGGAUUGAUGUUUUAAGUCCUGUUUUGGGGAAAAAAUAUAGGCUGUGAAUUUUUUAUGGCUUUUACUAUUUUAUGUUUUGAAUAUUGAUAUAUAAAUAGAAAGUAUAUUGAGUGUAAAAUAAACAUUGAGAACAAAACUGAUGUGAAAUCUAAGAUACAGUGUUCAGAAUAUAGUGGCAUAUGUACAAAAUACAAUGUACAUAUAUUACACAAUAGAACAUAUUUCAGGAUUAACUCACAUCACAGAGCAUCACUCUUGUCACAAUACACAACAUUUUCUAGUGGUUUAUCCAGCUUCUUAAUUAAGGCCUGUCUUCAGAUAUAUAAAAUUAGAAAAUAAUCCAGGCUCUCCAGUGCGUUAUGUAGAUUAGUGGUGGUUAACCUGGGCAUUCCAGUUGUUUUAAAACUAUAUUCCUCAUGGUGCUAGAUUGUUGAGGAGCGAAAGCACACAGAACCGAUCGAUGCUCUGUACUUUGUGAGUUCAUCCUAGAAUGUUGCUCAGUGAAUGUACAAAAAAUGCAAUCUAUUUAUUUAAAGUGCAUAGUUAUGAUCCUGUAACCUGAGUACUACAUCUUGGAUUGUAAGGUAUAUUUCAGUUUUUUUUCCCCUUGCAUUAUUCAAAGAGUAAUGCAAUAAACAGCGAUUUUUGUCACUGUCAUCACAUUGAUCGUGCGGAUUCACUGUUUUCUGUUCUGUUUUGUAACUAUCCACCAAACUGUGUUUUAUAACUUAUUGUGAUUACUCCCAUCAAUUUAGUGUUGCACUUAAUGUGUUUUUUCCCAUUCUAAUGUCUAUUGAAAGAUCUACAAUUUAAUACAAUUUGUAUUACUCAAUGUUUUCUUUGUAAAGAAGGAACCGCUUCAAAGAUCCUUCACCAUGGUGUUGGAAAUUACAGAAUCCUCAACAGUAUUCAUUACUUUAAUGUCAUUUCUGAGUUGAUCAUUUUGAAUUUAUUCUAUUUAUUAUUACUUUUAUUUUUGCUAUUUAUUAUUUUAAAUGUGUUGUGGAAGUUCCUUUUUAGAAGAGUUCACACCUUCUUUUCUAUUGUAGAUGAAGCAACUGUUGGCUACACGUUAAGAUAUUAAAUAUUUAAAGGAGUACACAGCAUUUUUAUAAGAUGCCCCUAAAUAGACUUGGGUAUACUUGUAAAGACUAUCUUAGCCCUUUAGGUUUUACAGAGUGCAUUGCUGGAGAGUAAGGAACCAAAUGUCUACUUGCGUGCUAACUGCAAACCACUGAUUUUAAAGACACUGCAAGACAACAAGGGGAGUGAGUAACACAGACAAUUACUGGUCUUUAGAACUCAAUGAGGCCAAUGGAAGUGUCUAUAGAAUAAAAACAGUAAGAGUUUCAAAACAGUAAUUCUUAUCCUGUAGCUCAGAAUCUAAAUCUAGGUUGCUGUCAUGCGAUCUUAUUUAGUCCCCAUUUGGUUGUAACAGGCUUAUCUUUGCUGCAAUGCCCAAGAAAACUGCCCAUAAUAUUAAGAGCAGUGGCUCCCAGCCUAGUCUUCAAGGUAAAUCCUUGGUCCAUGUUUUUCCAGUAUCCCUAUAGCAAUGGAAUCCUGGCACUUGGUAUGCCUAAAAGACUCAUUUGGCAACCACUGCAGUAGAGAGGUGUCUGAAGUUUUGUUGUACAAAAAAAUAUUUUUAUAUAACUUUGUUAAAGGAUUGGUAUCUGAGCUAAAUCCUCAGCUAAAGAAGGGUCAUUAAGAAACUUACCAUUUAUGAAGAUCCCUGUGUUAAAAUAAAUCAGCCAUAUAUGGUCAAUGUUGGUGUUUUUUCCAUUCUCUUUCCUUUCUUUUAAAGAAAGUACAUAUAUAUUUUAGAUACUUGCCUUCAGCGAAAUUGGAAUUUUAAUAAUUUGAGCUAGAUUAGUAUCAGGUCUAAUGUUCUCUUUCCUACCCAUAAUUUAGGACAUUGAAAUCUGAAAAAAGGAGGGAGAGUUCCUUAACCGUGUGCCUCCUGGUCACUAUGAAGGUGGCAAAAAAUUGACACCAAGACUCCCUUUGUUAUAUUUAAAAACCUUAAUGGAUCAUUUUCCAUCACUGUAUUAAGUUCAAUAGGUCCAGCUCAUGAAUAAACAUUACAAUUUUAGAGUUUGUACUAUAUCCAAUUAAAUAGACCCAGCUUAUGACUACAUAUUACAUUCCACGUGUUUUGCAUAGAAACUGGCUGAAAUGUUUAUUUUUUUAUGGAUUGCCAGAAGAGAAAUACAGAUAUGGUAUUUCAAUUAACAAGGCCGAAAGUACUCAGGACAGCCUAUCGUAUUUGUAAUCAUUAUGGCAAGGAGAGGGAACCCCUACAGAAGACAUAUAUUUAUAUACAUUAGUAGUAAUGAUUUGGGCUCACAAUUUCAGUCCUAAGCUACUAGACAGGCCUAAACAGUAUUGUCAUUGCAAGUCUGUACAGUCCAUGGCACAUCGACCAAGAGUGAAUUCUUCAUUCACCAAUGGCUAGCAAGUAAUGGGAAAUUUUGAGCCCAAAUAACAAAAUAAGUAGAUUUUUUUUUUUUUUAAUUCAUUCUUUUGAAUUCUCGGGUUCUGGUUUUCUUUUCAUGAUUUACCUUAUUGAUAAAAUUUAAAAAUUGCUAUUGUAUUACUAAGUAUUAUCUAUUUAUUCAAGGCUUUCAUAUGUGUUUUGUGGUUAAUAUGCACAAAUUUAUUAUGAAGUUACACAGAUUACUGCACAGCACUCAAAUAGAGGUUUUCAAAAUGUUGAUUAUACACAGGUAUUGUUACUGGUGCUUUAUAAAAGUUUUUGACACUUAGUGUGAUUUGGUUUUUGUUGUGAAAUUGUAUCCUUUGGGUGUUGGCUUCAAUAAAACACUUUCAUGUGAUUCUCAUUUGUCAUUAAUCACUGCUUCAUUAAAGAAAGACGCUUCUAAAAAUAAUGCAACAAGUGGAAUUCAAAC